AGAGUUUGAUCAUGGCUCAGAAUCAACGCUGGCGGCGUGCCUCAGACAUGCAAGUCGAACGCGAAAGCUCCCUUCGGGGAGCAAGUAGAGUGGCGCACGGGUGAGUAACACGUAGGUAAUCUACCUUUGGAUGGGGAAUAACAACCGGAAACGGUUGCUAAUACCGCAUAAUGCAGCGGCACCUAAUGGUGACAGUUGUUAAAGCGGGGGAUCGUAAGACCUCGCGUCUGAAGAGGAGCCUGCGGCAGAUUAGCUAGUUGGUAAGGUAACGGCUUACCAAGGCGAUGAUCUGUAGCCGGCCUGAGAGGGCGGUCGGCCACACUGACACUGACAUACGGGUCAGACUCCUACGGGAGGCAGCAGUCGGGAAUUUUGGGCAAUGGGCGAAAGCCUGACCCAGCAACGCCGCGUGAAGGAUGAAAUCCCUCGGGAUGUAAACUUCGCAAGAACGGGAAGAAUAAGUAAGGGUUAAUAUCUCUUACGAUGACGGUACUGUUUGUAAGCUCCGGCUAACUCCGUGCCAGCAGCCGCGGUAAUACGGGGGGAGCAAGCGUUGUUCGGAUUUACUGGGCGUAAAGGGCGCGUAGGCGGCCACCGCAAGUCGACUGUGAAAUCUCCGGGCUUAACCCGGAACGGUCAGCCGAUACUGCGGGGCUAGAGUGCAGAAGGGGCAACUGGAAUUCUCGGUGUAGCGGUGAAAUGCGUAGAUAUCGAGAGGAACACCUGCGGCGAAGGCGGGUUGCUGGGCUGACACUGACGCUGAGGCGCGAAAGCUAGGGGAGCGAACGGGAUUAGAUACCCCCGUAGUCC
rnacentral:rRNA from 1 species